AAAGUCGUAACAAGGUUUCCGUAGGUGAACCUGCGGAAGGAUCAUUAUCGAAUUAUAAUCCGGCGAGGGGAAAGGGGGGAGCUGUCGCUGGCCUUUUACCGGGCAUGUGCACGCUCUCCUUGGAACCUUUGCCUUAUGGGCGUGGGGCGACCCGCGUCUUCAUAUACCCCUUCGUGUAGAAAGUCUUUGAAUGUUUAUAUUAUCAUCGAGCCGCGACUUCUAGGAGACGUGGUUCUUUGAGACAAAAGUUAUUACAACUUUCAGCAAUGGAUCUCUUGGCUCUC
rnacentral:misc_RNA from 1 species